rnacentral:rRNA from 1 species
GAUGAACGCUAGCGAUAGGCUUAACACAUGCAAGUCGAGGGGCAGCAUGGUCUUAGCUUGCUAAGACUGUUGGCGACCGGCGCACGGGUGCGUAACGCGUAUGCAACUUGCCUCACAGAGGGGGAUAACCCGUCGAAAGACGGACUAAUACCGCGUACACUCUAUUUUGGGCAUCCAAGGUAGAGGAAAUGAAAUUCGCUGUGAGAUAGGCAUGCGUCCCAUUAGCUAGUUGGUGAGGUAACGGCUCACCAAGGCGACGAUGGGUAGGGGAACUGAGAGGUUGAACCCCCACACUGGUACUGAGACACGGACCAGACUCCUACGGGAGGCAGCAGUGAGGAAUAUUAGUCAAUGGGCGAGAGCCUGAACCAGCCAAGUCGCGUGAAGGAUGACUGUCUUAUGGAUUGUAAACUUCUUUUGUAGGGGAAUAAAGAGGGGCACGUGUGCCCCAGUGAAUGUACCCUACGAAUAAGCAUCGGCUAACUCCGU